rnacentral:rRNA from 1 species
GACGAACGCUGGCGGCGUGCUUAACACAUGCAAGUCGAACGGAAAGGCCCUGCUUUUGUGGGGUGCUCGAGUGGCGAACGGGUGAGUAACACGUGAGUAACCUGCCCUUGACUUUGGGAUAACUUCAGGAAACUGGGGCUAAUACCGGAUAGGAGCUCCUGCUGCAUGGUGGGGGUUGGAAAGUUUCGGCGGUUGGGGAUGGACUCGCGGCUUAUCAGCUUGUUGGUGGGGUAGUGGCUUACCAAGGGUUUGACGGGUAGCCGGCCUGAGAGGGUGACCGGCCACAUUGGGACUGAGAGACGGCCCAGAAUCCUACGGGAGGCAGCAGUGGGGAAUAUUGCACAAUGGGCGGAAGCCUGAUGCAGCAACGCCGCGUGCGGGAUGACGGCCUUCGGGUUGUAAACCGCUUUCGCCUGUGACGAAGCGUGAGUGACGGUAAUGGGUAAAGAAGCACCGGCUAACUACGUG